UAAAUGGUGAUUUCGUUCGUCCUCAUCUGUUUAUCUAUGUUUUAAUUUUGUUUUCAAUCGUUUGUAGUAUGAAUUUGCACUGUCUGUCGAUGAACUUUGAUACUUUUGUCCGGCGAAGAACUACCCCCACCCCCACGCUGAAAUGACGGAUGAUGCAUACGCACGCCGCAACAGUGAUGACAAGAUAUUGUUAUGCUGAGGAUCACGGGACCAUGCAGCUCGUAACGACUAAUCCACGGUUGGGUGUAUGUGUUGGCAUUUUCCGCGACAUAUUCCCACCGUCGGCCAAUCAAACAAAGCUGUCAAGCGAUGCCCCAUGCCUUGUGCCGAUUUGACCCGCGUCUUGGCUUAAUUUGCGUGUGGAAGAUUGGCAUGCAGCGUGGGGUGGGGGUAGUCCUUAGCUCGUAACUGAAUGCGUCACAGUGCUUUGGCUACGUUCAUGAUUGAUCGGUCCCUCUGUUUCUGGUCUGCAGGGACUCCAGCAUGGGAACUAAUGUAGUGCUGGGCUACUAGCCUAGCAGCUGCCCUGGAAGUAACAGUGUGUGUACCUCAUUCGCUGGCUACCUCAUAUUAGCUCUGAAGUGGCGAUUUGGUGCUCGGGCUCACAUGAGCCCGAAAUCUGCGCCACUCGUAGUCUUGGGAUCGGAAAAAAUCGGUCUGUUUUUUUGCGGGGGAUUUAGAUAGCUUUAUUGAAUAAAAGCAUUCGCUGGACAGUCAGCCAAGAGGCUGCUGAUCAGGAAGCUGGGAGUGGAGUCUAGCCAGCUCUCGGUCAUGUGGUGUCAGGGUGCGACCAGCGUUAAACAUAUAUACGGAGGAGAUACGAGCGUGAUUCCUAGCUUGCAGUGGGCCCGUUUCGUAGGGCGCGGGGAUUGCCGUGACGGGGAGGCCCUGAGCCACGGCUCGAUGCGUGAACGAUGUGCUGGGCCACGGAACAGGUUUGAGGCCCUGUGGUGUCAGAGAUGUUUUCCCCUUGCAGGUUUGUAGAGGGCGGCGGCUGGUUCCGGCAACUUCUGGAUGGAGACGAAUGGGCCGGAGUUCCUCCUGGAUCUGUUUGACCGGUUUUCCUUGAGAGAGGAGUACGCCGACAACCUCGAGCAUCCAGAUCCGGUACCUCUUGAUCUGCUAGGUGUCGGCCCGGGAGCGCCGGAGGAACCGAACUGCGGGUUAGGGUGUGCGCAGGAUGUUGGUGGCGGCAGCCCAGCAAGGGACGGAGGAGAGCACCGUCGACGCAGUCAGCGUAGUCCACGGGGAAGGUCAACCCUGAGGCGCCUAGAUGGGCAAAGAGGCUCGGGCUGGGAAUCGCACCUCCGGACAGGACUCUGUGCGUGUCUUGAAUGAUCGCACUGGAAGAGUCUAUCAGGAAAUUUGCGGAAGAGCCGUCGAAGAGUGUGCUUAAUCCGGAGGGAAUCAGCUUGGACACGCUGGGAGAGGCAUGCGACUUCUACAAUUUGUAUUCAUGUGAGGUUGGUUUUGGAGUACGAUACAACAAAAGCAGAGUGAAGCCGAACGGACAAAAUCAAUGUAGGAGAUCGUGUGUGCGGCUGCUCGGUGAGUUACAUCUGCACCAGCUCAGUUACAUCUGAGUAUGAGGCAUAAAGCACGUGCAAGGAACACAUCAGUUGAGCAAAUGACUAUCCAUAACGAUGGCCAUACAGGUAAUUCAUCAUGUAUUGUAACAUGAACCCCUGCGGCGUGGGUAUGAUGGUGUGAACCAUAGAUUUGAAGUUUGUGUGAUCGGGCCUAUAAAGACUUGGUUUUAUGGCAUGUAGUUGGGUCAUCACUUGUUCGAUUUGAGCAUGUUCGUGUCUGUUUUACUGCUA